GCCCUCGUAGCUCAGUGGAUAGAGCACGGCUCUCCUAAAGCCGGUGUCGUUGGUUCGAUUCCAAUCGAGGGCA
rfam:Arthrobacter sp. Leaf69 contig_1, whole genome shotgun sequence.